rnacentral:rRNA from 1 species
AACGAACGCUGGCGGCGCGCCUAAUACAUGCAAGUCGAGCGAGAAGACGUAGCAAUACGUUUGUAAAGCGGCGAACGGGUGAGGAAUACAUGGGUAACCUACCCUAGAGUGGGGAAUAACUAGCCGAAAGGUUAGCUAAUACCGCGUACGCUCCUUGGACUUCGGUUCAGGGAGGAAAGCGAUACCGAGGGUAUCGCGCUCUUGGAUGGGCUCAUGUCCUAUCAGCUUGUUGGGAGGUAACGGCUCACCAAGGCUUCGACGGGUAGCUGGUCUGAGAGGACGAUCAGCCACACUGGCACUGCGACACGGGCCAGACUCCUACGGGAGGCAGCAGUAAGGAAUAUUGCGCAA